CACACAUUCAUUUGAUUCGGAGCCGUUGCAGCAUCUCUAUUUCAACAUGUUUGGGCUGAGUAUAUUUGUGUAUUUCCUAAUGUGGUUGACACAGAAAUUAAACGAAUUACCUAGUCCUCCGCCACCGGAACAAGAACCAACCUAUGCUCCCGAUCGUCACUUGCCACCAGUACAAAAACCUAUUUUGCCAGGAUAAAAAGAACAAUAAUUAUUGGGAAGAAAAUGUAACUACCUACUUAAACUUACACUUUCUGGCUAAAUAAAUAAAUCGUUAUAACAAAUUAA